UUGAUUAGGGUACUAGGUCUGGUCUACCAUGAAUAAUACUCAGUUUUCCUUUUAAUUGGCAGGAUUCCAGGACCAAAACCCCUCACCACCAACUGUUUAGUCUGGCUAUAAGAAAAUGGAUACAUUUUAUUCUGAAAAAGACCAGGAGUCAUGCCCUGUGACCUUGAGACUGCACUCAGGCAGCGUGCAGUGCAGCAGGGAGUCUUCUCCAGCCCCAUCAACCGGAUGAAAGCUUUCCUACAAGGCCCACAUUGUCCUCUGCUUCCCCUCCUGGUUUGCCUCUUUCUCAUCAGAGUUCUGCAGCUCCCAGAGUCUGUUCCAUACCCUCAGUCCAUAUCGGUGGAGAGCCUGCAUGGCCAUGACCUGGAAGGGAGUGGAAGGUAGCGAGCUGUGAUCCAAGGCACUCCCCAUCUUCCCUGGAUGGGCCUCUCACUUGUACACUGAGGCAUUCACAGGCAGGGAAACCCCUGCAGACUAAGAAGGAGGCUGGGCUCAAGAACUAGUGGGUCCAGAUUUUGGCAGAGGCAGGGAAGCUUCCAGGAAAGGGGCUCCUCGUUAACAGCUGUGUGGGAGAGGGAAUGUGUGUGGUAUGCUUAUAUUCCAUUUGUCUAAAUAUUGUUUGCAUGAGGUCAGAGACCUUAGGCUUUGUUCUGACUUUCUAUGAAUGCAUAACAAACCACCCCCAAAUUUAAGUCACUUCAAGCAAUUUAUUAGUAUCUCUAAUAG
rnacentral:lncRNA from 9 species